UACGUAGGGGGCAAGCGCUGUCCGGAAUCAUUGGGCGUAAAGAGCGUGUAGGCGGCUUGGAAGGUCAGCUGUGAAAACUCGAGGCUCAACCUCGAGACGUCGGUUGAAACCACCUGGCUAGAGUCCGGAAGAGGAGUGUGGAAUUCCCGGUGUAGCGGUGAAAUGCGCAGAUAUCGGGAAGAACACCCGUGGCGAAGGCGGCACUCUGGGACGGUACUGACGCUGAGACGCGAAAGCGUGGGGAGCGAACAGG
rnacentral:rRNA from 1 species